CUGCUCGCUUCGGCAGCACACAUAUGAACAUUGGAAUGAAACAGAGAAGGUUAGCAUGGCCCCUGCGAAAGGAUGACAUGAAAAUUAAUGAAGAGUUCCAUAUUUUA
ensembl:snRNA U6 U6 spliceosomal RNA